AGCAGCCGCGGUAAUUCCAGCUCCAAUAGCGUAUAUUAAAGUUGUUGCAGUUAAAAAGCUCGUAGUUGAAUUUCAGGCCUGGCUGGACGGUCCGCCUUUUGGGUGAGUACUGUCUGUGGUCGGGUCCUACCUUCUGGCGAAGCGUCAUGGCCUUAACCGGCCGUGGCGGGGAACCAGGACUUUUACUGUGAAAAAAUUAGAGUGUUCAAAGCAGGCAGUCGCUUGAAUACAUUAGCAUGGAAUAAUGGAAUAGGACAAUGGUUCUAUUUGUUGGUUUCUAGGACCGUUGUAAUGAUUAAUAGGGAUAGUUGGGGGCAUUAGUAUUCAAUUGUCAGAGGUGAAAUUCUUGGAUUUAUUGAAGACUAACUACUGCGAAAGCAUUUGCCAAGGAUGUUUUCAUUAAUCAAGAACGAAAGUUAGGGGAUCGAAGACGAUCAGAUACCGUCGUAG
rnacentral:rRNA from 1 species